rnacentral:rRNA from 1 species
AAGUAUUAAAGGUCCCGCCUGCCCAGUGAAAAACUUUCAACGGCCGCGGUAUUCUAACCGUGCAAAGGUAGCGUAAUCACUUGUCUUCUAAAUAAAGACCAGUAUGAACGGCUAAAUGAGGACAAACCUGUCUCAUAUAACUAAUCAGUGAAACUGAUCUCUCAGUACAAAAGCUGAGAUAUAAACAUAAGACGAGAAGACCCCGUGGAGCUUAAAAUAAACCACUAACCUCUAUAUUCUAGUAUUCUAUUUUAAGUUGGGGCGACUUCGGAAUAAAACAAAACUUCCGAGCACAGAACCACACCUUCUAACCAAGGCCAACAAGCCAAACAAAACCGACCCGGCCUUAGCCGAUCAACGAACCAAGUUACCCCGGGGAUAACAGCGCUAUCUUCUUCAAGAGUCCCUAUCAACAAGAAGGUUUACGACCUCGAUGUUGGAUCAGGACACCCAAAUGGUGCAGCCGCUAUUAAAGGUUCGUUUGUUCAACGAUUAAUAGUCCUACGUGAUCUGAGUUCAGACCGGAG